AGAUUGAACUGAAGAGUUUGAUCCUGGCUCAGAUUGAACGCUGGCGGCAUGCUUUACACAUGCAAGUCGAACGGCAGCACGGGCUUCGGCCUGGUGGCGAGUGGCGAACGGGUGAGUAAUA
rnacentral:rRNA from 1 species